rnacentral:rRNA from 1 species
UACAUCGCAGUCGAGCGGACAGAUGGGAGCUUGCUCCCUGAUGUUAGCGGCGGACGGGUGAGUAACACGUGGGUAACCUGCCUGUAAGACUGGGAUAACUCCGGGAAACCGGGGCUAAUACCGGAUGGUUGUUUGAACCGCAUGGUUCAGACAUAAUAUACGGUGGCUUCGGCUACCACUUACAGAUGGACCCGCGGCGCAUUAGCUAGUUGGUGAGGUAAGCGGUCUCACCUAAGGCGACGCAUGCGUAGCCGACCUGAGAGGGUGAUCGGCCACACUGGGACUGAGACACGGCCCAGUACUCCUACGGGAGGCAGCAGUAGGGAAUCUUCCGCAAUGGACGAAAGUCUGACGGAGCAACGCCGCGUGAGUGAUGAAGGUUUUCGGAUCGUAAAGCUCUGUUGUUAGGGAAGAACAAGUGCCGUUCAAAUAGGGCGGCACCUUGACGGUACCUAACCAGAAAGCCACGGCUAACUACGUGCCAGCAGCCGCGGUAAUACGUAGGUGGCAAGCGUUGUCCGGAAUUAUUGGGCGUAAAGGGCUCGCAGGCGGUUUCUUAAGUCUGAUGUG